AACGAACGCUGGCGGCAUGCCUAACACAUGCAAGUCGAACGAGACCUUCGGGUCUAGUUGCGCACGGGUGCGUAACGCGUGGGAACCUGCCCUUAGGUUCGGAAUAACUCCCCGAAAGGGGUGCUAAUACCGGAUAAUGUCUUCGGACCAAAGAUUUAUCGCCUUUGGAUGGGGCCGCGUUGGAUUAGCUAGUUGGUAGGGUAAAAGCCUACCAAGGCGACGAUCCAUAGCUGGUCUGAGAGGAUGAUCAGCCACACUGGGACUGAGACACGGCCCAGACUCCUACGGGAGGCAGCAGUGGGGAAUAUUGGACAAUGGGCGAAAGCAUGAUCCAGCAAUGCCGCGUGAGUGAUGAAGGCCUUAGGGUUGUAAAGCUCUUUUAACCGGGAUGAUAAUGACAGUACCGGGAGAAUAAGCUCCGGCUAACUCCGUG
rnacentral:rRNA from 1 species